rnacentral:rRNA from 1 species
GACGAACGCUGGCGGCGUGCUUAACACAUGCAAGUCGAACGGAAAGGCCCUGCUUUUGUGGGGUGCUCGAGUGGCGAACGGGUGAGUAACACGUGAGUAACCUGCCCUUGACUUUGGGAUAACUUCAGGAAACUGGGGCUAAUACCGGAUAGGAGCUCCUGCUGCAUGGUGGGGGUUGGAAAGUUUCGGCGGUUGGGGAUGGACUCGCGGCUUAUCAGCUUGUUGGUGGGGUAGUGGCUUACCAAGGCUUUGACGGGUAGCCGGCCUGAGAGGGUGACCGGCCACAUUGGGACUGAGAUACGGCCCAGACUCCUACGGGAGGCAGCAGUGGGGAAUAUUGCACAAUGGGCGGAGGCCUGAUGCAGCAACGCCGCGUGCGGGAUGACGGCCAUCGGGUUGUAAACCGCUUUCGCCUGUGACGAAGCGUGAGUGACGGUAAUGGGUAAAGAAGCACCGGCUAACUACGUG